GCAGGUGGCAAUUUUAUGUCAGUUCCUCAGAGAAAUUGACUACAAAACAGCCUUUAAGUCACUACAGGAACAAAACAGUCAUGAUGCUAUGGACUCCUACUAUGACUACAUAUGGGAUGUUACCAUUUUGGAAUACUUGACUUAUCUUCAUCAUAAAAGAGGAGAAACAGAUAAAAGACAGAUUGCGGUAAGUUACCUUGUGUAUUUCUUCAAUGAUAUACUUAGUUUCCAGAAUAUUAAUUAAGAUUUGGACCAACAAAAAAAAUAUUUUGUGUGCUUAUUUACUGCCAGAAUUUGGUUAUUAGUGUUUACUUUGUAAAAGGUCCUUUUUUGAUAAUAUAAGCUAUUCCAUCUCAGUUUAUUUUAAAGUGUUAGAUCAUGUCAUUUCUCUGUUCCAAAUGAGUGGUUUCUCAUCUCACACAAAGUCA